rnacentral:rRNA from 1 species
AGAGUUUGAUCCUGGCUCAGGACGAACGCUGGCGGCGCGCCUAACACAUGCAAGUCGAACGAGAGAUGAGGAGCUUGCUCUUCAGAUCGAGUGGCGAACGGGUGAGUAACGCGUGAGGAACCUGCCUCAAAGAGGGGGACAACAGUUGGAAACGACUGCUAAUACCGCAUAAGCCCACGGCUCGGCAUCGAGCAGAGGGAAAAGGAGCAAUCCGCUUUGAGAUGGCCUCGCGUCCGAUUAGCUAGUUGGUGAGGUAACGGCCCACCAAGGCGACGAUCGGUAGCCGGACUGAGAGGUUGAACGGCCACAUUGGGACUGAGACACGGCCCAGACUCCUACGGGAGGCAGCAGUGGGGAAUAUUGCACAAUGGGGGAAACCCUGAUGCAGCGACGCCGCGUGGAGGAAGAAGGUCUUCGGAUUGUAAACUCCUGUUGUUGAGGAAGAUAAUGACGGUACUCAACAAGGAAGUGACGGCUAACUACGUGCCAGCAGCCGCGGUAAAACGUAGGUCACAAGCGUUGUCCGGAAUUACUGGGUGUAAAGGGAGCGCAGGCGGGAGAACAAGUUGGAAGUGAAAUCCAUGGGCUCAACCCAUGAACUGCUUUCAAAACUGUUUUUCUUGAGUAGUGCAGAGGUAGGCGGAAUUCCCGGUGUAGCGGUGGAAUGCGUAGAUAUCGGGAGGAACACCAGUGGCGAAGGCGGCCUACUGGGCACCAACUGACGCUGAGGCUCGAAAGUGUGGGUAGCAAACAGGAUUAGAUACCCUGGUAGUCCACACCGUAAACGAUGAUUACUAGGUGUUGGAGGAUUGACCCCUUCAGUGCCGCAGUUAACACAAUAAGUAAUCCACCUGGGGAGUACGACCGCAAGGUUGAAACUCAAAGGAAUUGACGGGGGCCCGCACAAGCAGUGGAGUAUGUGGUUUAAUUCGACGCAACGCGAAGAACCUUACCAAGUCUUGACAUCCCUUGACGAACAUAGAAAUAUGUUUUCUCUUCGGAGCAAGGAGACAGGUGGUGCAUGGUUGUCGUCAGCUCGUGUCGUGAGAUGUUGGGUUAAGUCCCGCAACGAGCGCAACCC